UAUUAAAAAAGCCUACCUUAUUGUGAGGCAAGCUCGGAAAGUUAUUGGUCUUACACUCUAAGAUUGCAAGACUAUCAGA
rnacentral:ncRNA from 1 species